UUUUUAAAUCAAGAGUGUAUUUUAAGUUAUUUUUUCAUUUGUAUAUAAUUUUAAACAAUGUUUUCUUACAGUUUGUCAUCAUCCUGCUCUUGGUUUUUGUCACAGAAGUUGUUGUAGUGGUUUUGGGAUAUGUUUACAGAGCAAAGGUAUGUUGUCUACUGUAAUUCACAUAAUGCCUUAAAAGGUGGUUUAAGUGUUUCAAGUAAAAUAGAACACAUUCAUUUUAUCAGAGUAAAUGUUUUCUUUUGCCUUACUUGUUUAAUCUGUAUUUCAAAUAUCUAAAGUUAAUUGGCAAAUAUUUACAUGUCAAGACUCCUCACCUCAUUUAAUAUAGCAGAGUAUUAUAUAUGUAUUGUUCUUGAUUAUAGGUGUUUAUAGCUGCAAAUGAAUAAUUAGCUGAGAAGUUUGUUCAGAUUUCCUCAGCACACAGAUUGCCUGUAUGAGGGGAGGCAUAAUUUUCUGAUAAUCUGCUUUAGAAGAACCAAACUCAGGAUUGUGUUUUCCAUUGGCUGUUUAAAAAAUGCUUUGGUCCUGAAUAUAGAAAAAGGUGUUGUGAGUUGUGAUCCCACCUUCCACCCCUGUCCUGAGGAACAAGGGGUCCUGCCAACUUAGAACACCAAGGCAGCUGGUGCCAGCACUCCUUUCUUGCCCUUCAUUCUUUUUAAUCAUUUCACCGUUCCUUCCUUUCUAUUUUGCCUGAUUUUGCUGUCUACCUCUAGUACUACUUAAGGCUAAACAGGCUGCUUUAAAUUAAUUAAUAUGGGUAUAAUUUUAGAGGCAUGGUAAAGACAUAAUAGACUCAUUCUCAUUAUAACUUAAUGGUUUUGAGUCAAGGGCAUAAUAUGCCAAGUUAAUUUUCAGAUCGUUGAUAUGUAAGGUACUGUAAAGCUGUGCUAAAAAAAAAAUGCAAUGGAUUAUGUCCCUACCUAUGAUCUGGUUAUCAAUUUUAUGGACUUAUUAUAUUACUGUUGUAAUUACCAGAUAAGUCCAGUCCUCCGAGGGGUAAGGAGGAUCUGGUACAAGCAAACUUUACUUGCUUGCCAUUUUAUGUAAUUGGCAGCAAUAAGCUGUGAAGCUUGUUUCCUGUCUCCUUUUUGCAAUACAUUGAACAGUAACUUUUUCAUAAAGUGCCACUUGUAAGGACUGAUUUUUUUAAACCUGCUGAUUACUUUUGCACAUUUAGCCAACUCUAAACAUUGAAUAAAUAAAAUGGAAAUAAUGUUGGCAUUUGUCCUAAAAGUAUCUUACAGGAGCUUCGGAGUUACUUUACCUCACCUCCUUUAGGAAAGGAAAAUGAGUAGUCUUCUGAGAAACUUAUUUGUAAAAGGAAGAUGUCCAUUUAUAAUUUAGGACAUCUAUCCCAAGCCUCAACUUUUCUCCCUUUUGAAUACGUUGUUAGCCUGCCAUUUUGCACACAAUCUUCUCUUUGAAUGCUUAAAUCUAUGUGGUAUAUGUCUGAAUUUUUACCUGUCACUUUUCUCCCUCCUGCCUUCAUCUAUAUCUAUAUGAAGAUGAAGGCAGGAAGGGAGAAAACUUUACAAGAAAUUCAUAAAGAUCUGGCAACUUGCAAACAUUUCAUUUAAGUAUUUUAGUAGGAGCCUUGACUAAUGUAACUUUUACUAGUAUUUUUGAGGGACUGAAUUCUUUGUUCUGAUUCAGGUGGAAAAUGAGGUUGACCGCAGCAUUCAGAAAGUGUAUAAGACCUACAAUGGAACCAACCCUGAUGCUGCUAGCCGGGCUAUUGAUUAUGUACAGAGACAGCUGCAUUGUUGUGGAAUUCACAACUACUCAGACUGGGAAAAUACAGAUUGGUUCAAAGAAACCAAAAACCAGAGUGUCCCUCUUAGCUGCUGCAGAGAGACUGCCAGCAAUUGUAAUGGCAGCCUGGCCCACCCUUCCGACCUCUAUGCUGAGGGCUGUGAGGCUCUAGUUGUGAAGAAGCUACAAGAAAUCAUGAUGCAUGUGAUCUGGGCCGCACUGGCAUUUGCAGCUAUUCAGCUGCUGGGCAUGCUGUGUGCCUGCAUCGUGUUGUGCAGAAGGAGUAGAGAUCCUGCUUACGAGCUCCUCAUCACUGGCGGAACCUAUGCAUAGUUGACAACUCAAGCCUGAGCUUUUUGGUCUUGUUCUGAUUUGGAAGGUGAAUUGAGCAGGUCUGCUGCUGUUGGCCUCCAGAGUUCGUUUAGUUAAAGCACAUGUACACUGGUGUUGGACAGAGCAGCUUGGCUUUCCAUGUGCCCACCUACUUACCUACCUACCUGCGAGUUUCUUUUUCCUUGUUCUAGCUCACUCUUCAUGCCCCUAAGAUUUUAAGUACGAUGGUGAACGCUCUAAUUUCAGAACCAAUUGCGAGUCAUGUAGUGUGGUAGAAUUAAAGGAGGACACGAGCCUGCUUCUGUUACCUCCAAGUGGUAACAGGACUGAUGCCGAAAUGUCACCAGGUCCUUUCAGUCUUCACAGUGGAGAACUCUUGGCCAAAGGUUUUUGGGGGGAGGAGGAGGAAACCAGCUAUCUGGUUAAGGUUAACACCAGAUGGUGCCCCUCAUCAGUGUCCUUUUAAAAAAUAUUUACUGUAGUCCAAUAAGAUAGCAGCUGUACAAAAUGACUAAAAUAGAUUUUAGGAUCAUACGGUGUAUAUCUUGGUUCAUCUUCAAAAUCAGAGACUGAGCUUUGAAACUAGUGGUUUUUAAUCAAAGUUGGCUUUAUAGGAGGAGUAUAAUGUAUGCACUACUGUUUUAAAAGAAUUAGUGUGAGUGUGUUUUUGUAUGAAUGAGCCCAUUCAUGGUAAGUCUUAAGCUUGUUGGAAAUAAUGUACCUAUGUAGACUAGCAAAAUAGUAUGUAGAUGUGAUCUCAGUUGUAAAUAGAAAAAUCUAAUUCAAUAAAUUCUGUAUCGGCCCCC
rnacentral:sRNA from 1 species